AGACACGGCCUUUGGUUCCGACAACAAGGUGGAACCAGGGGCCCCUCCUCAUCCCACCCAACCUUCUGCCCUGGGCCACUAAGGCUGUCAGAAUAACUGGCUCGUCUCCAGUUAGGAAGAAUUUCCAUGACCACUAAUGGGUAGUUAGGGACAGCAUCCCAGUUUAAAUAAAGGCUUUCAUGGACCUGGAAAGCUGCAGAUACUUAGCAGUACUCUGCGCGAGGCUGUGGAUUGGAUUGCGGCUUCAAGCAGAGCCUGGCGGAGGGGAGCUGCCACAGAGACACCACCAGAGGGGGAAUGUGAAUCUUUUACCCAUCUAUUUAGGACUCCCGAAGACAGAGACGAGCCUUCUGUUCCCAGUGAUCACCGGCCCCCAGAUGAAGCCAGCCUCAGGAUAAUAAACCAGCCUUGCACCAGGGUGGCGUGAUGACGGCCGAGGGCCACAUGGUGCCCCCAGAGUAAAGCAGCGUUCAGAUGAAAACGGAGAGACACCUACCUCCCAGCCCGGCACCCCACCAAGUCUGUGUAGAUGGUCUGGAUCCGUAAUUAGAAACACGGUGCAUUAAAUA